rnacentral:rRNA from 1 species
UGCCAGCCGCCGCGGUAAUACGGAGGAUGCAAGCGUUAUCCGGAUUUAUUGGGUUUAAAGGGUACGUAGGUGGCCCUAUAAGUCAGUGGUGAAAUCCUGCCGCUUAACGGUAGAAUUGCCAUUGAUACUGUAGGGCUUGAGUAUAUUUGAGGUAAGCGGAAUGUGUAGUGUAGCGGUGAAAUGCUUAGAUAUUACACAGAACUCCGAUUGCGAAGGCAGCUUACUAAACUAUAACUGACACUGAGGUACGAAAGCGUGGGGAGCGAACGGGAUUAGAUA